AAUUGAUUUUGGAAAAGAAGAGGCUAGGAGAACAAGGGCUUAGGAGAACCUCCAUUGUUAUAGCUUGAAGGUUCUUUUGCUGAAAAAUCUAAGACGAGCAGAUGAAUAUGUAUAUGCUUAGAAGCUGAAGGAUGAUGUUGAGGCUAUUCUCCCUUUCCUCUUUAUGCGAUAUUUAGAUUAUGUUGCUCUGAUAUGUAACACUGGGUGGGAGAAUGCUAUGUUUUUCUAUUUGUUAUUAUUUUAUGCGUUGUUGAUGUUUAAAGCAUUUUUCCAUAACCAAGUUUUAUGUUUAAAAGAAAGUGUUAUGAGACUUAA